rnacentral:rRNA from 1 species
GGGGAAUCUUGCGCAAUGGCCGAAAGGCUGACGCAGCGACGCCGCGUGUGGGAUGAAGCAUUUCGGUGUGUAAACCACUGUUGCCCGGGACGAACACCUCUUUUCGAAGAGGCUGACGGUACCGGGUGAGGAAGCACCGGCUACCUCCGUGCCAGCAGCCGCGGUAAUACGGAGGGUGCGAGCGUUGUCCGGAAUCAUUGGGCGUAAAGGGCGCGUAGGUGGCCCGGUCAGUCUUUGGUGAAAGCGCGGGGCUCAACCCUGCGUCGGCCAGGGAUACUGCCGCGGCUCGAGCACUGUAGAGGCAGGCGGAAUUCCGGGUGUAGCGGUGGAAUGCGUAGAGAUCCGGAAGAACACCGGUGGCGAAGGCGGCCUGCUGGGCAGUUUAGCUGACACUGAGGCGCGACAGCGUGGGGAGCAAAC